AUUGACCGCUGGCGGCAGGCUUAACACAUGCAAGUCGAGCGAGCGGCGGACGGGUGCGUAAUGUCUGGGAAACUGCCUGAUGGAGGGGGAUCACUACUGGAAACGGUGGCUAAUACCGCAUACCAUCGGAUGUGCCCAGAUGGGAUUAGAUAGUAGGUGGGGUAACGGCUCACCUAGGCGACGAUCCCUAGCUGGUCUGAGAGGAUGACCUGCCACACUGGAACUGAGACACGGUCCAGACUCCGACGGGAGGUAGCAGUGGGGAAUAUUGAACAGUGGGCGCAAGCCUGAUGCAGCCAUGCCGCGUGUGUGAAGAAGGCCAUGGGGUUGUAAAGCACUUUCAGCGAGGAGGCGUUACUCGCAGAAGAAGCACCGGCUAACUCCGUGCCAGCAGACGCGGUAGUAC
rnacentral:rRNA from 1 species